rnacentral:lncRNA from 1 species
GGAGGAAGAGGUUGUAUAUGUCUGUGGGUGUACCCAUGGGCACCAUUCCAUCCCGUCGGGAGCUGGUCACGACAGACGCCUGCCUAUCGGGAUGGGGUGCGGUUUGGCAGGCCACUGCCCAAGGGCAGUGGCCGGCCCAGAACCACGCUCACAUCAAUGUGCUAGAGCUCAGGGCGGUACAGCUAGCACUCAAUCAUUUUCUGCCUCAUUUGAGAGGCAAGCAUGUGCUGGUUCGAUCCGACAACAUGUCAGCUUUUGCCCAGAUCAACCACCAAGGGGGGACCCGGUCUUCACGGCUACUCCGGGUAUCUCGGAACUUGUUGGCCUGGGCAUAUCCCCGCCUGGCCAGCGUGUGGGCGGUCUUCAUACCGGGGCAACGGAACCAGGUCGCAGAUUUUCUAUCGCGGCAGAAGCCCCCACCGGGGGAGUGGCGGCUUCAUCCGGAGGUGGUGGAGACGAUGUGGGGUCUCUUUGGCAGGGUGGACCUCUUUGCAUCAGAGGAAUCCGCACAUUGCCCCCUCUGGUUCUCCUGGACGGAGGUGACCGGCCCCCUCGGACAGGAUGCCUUAGCUCACGACUGGCCACAGAGUCCUCUGUAUGCCUUCCCACCGCUGCCCCUGAUUCUCCCCACACUUCAGAGGGCGUUUCUGCAGGGCCACGGGUUACUUCUGGUGGCCCCCUACUGGCCAGGGAGACUCUGGUUUCCACUGCUGCGCAGGCUCUGCUGCAGCUCUCCAUGGCGCCUCCCCUGCAGGAAGGACCUCCUUUCGCAGCUGGGGGGCCAGAUUUGGCACCCAGCUCUGGGCCUGGCCGCUGCAGGGCCCGACUCACUGCUGAAUGUUUGCACUGAGACCGUCAGAAAUACUAUUCUGAAUGCCAGGGCACCAUCUACCAGAGCACAGUAUGCCAACAGAUGGAAGUUAUUCUCUGACUGGUGUAGGGGUAAGGCAGUAGACCCAGCGCGUUGCUCCGUGGCCACCGUUCUGGAGUUUUUGCAGUCCCUCCUGGAUGAUGGUCGCUCUCAUUCCACCUUGAGGGUCUAUGUGGCUGCUAUCUCUUCCCGACAUGAGAUGGUUGACGGAGCCACAGUGGGGUGCCACAGGUUGGUGUCCCUCUUCCUUAGGGGGGCCCUGAGGCUACGUCCCCCUAGGAUUCUGAGGACUCCAGCUUGGGACCUGCCCCUGGUGCUGGAGGCCAUGUCAUCACCUCCUUUUGAGCCUCUGACCCAGAUAGGGUUGAAGUGGCUGUCCAUGAAGGUGGCUUUUCUGCUCGCCAUUACCACUGCGAAGCGGGUCGGGGAGUUGCACGCCCUAUCCGUGGCAGAUACAUGCCUGCGGUGGAACCCUGAUGGCUCAGGUGUGGUUUUAUGGCCCAAUG